rnacentral:lncRNA from 1 species
AGUCUUUAUGCCAAUUAAAAUAAGGUGAUCUGCAGCCAGCACCGUUUCACCUUCGACGAAACAACGCGAUCCAACGCCACAAUCUAGAAACGUCAACACAGCGCCAAGCGAAAGUGCCGCGCUGACCCUGUUAGUUGUAGCCAUCUUUGUUUUUUCGACCAGUGUUGCCAGCACACAAAGCGUUUUCUGGAGUUGCGAAUACCCUCCACGUAA